UACUCCUGUUAAGGAACGAAAAGCUUCAGUCAACAAAUCCAAACCAUAAAAAGUCCUAUGAUCUAAAAAUAUGAAAAGAAUGGGCAGAUGGAAUUCUUCAAGAGACAAUAAACCUGCAAGCACUCCAAGGGUAUUUGUAGUUUGUGAACUCACGUUGGAUUUUACCAAUCACAGUAAGGGACCCCACAACACGGCUCUGGCUCAGAGUUGGUUGAAGCUUGUAUUCGACUCACAUCUUCUGGCUGGGCUGGGAAGCAAAGUUGAACAACACAGGGGGUGGGCUGAGAGAGGCACAGUGACCAGCACAGCACUGUCCUUGGAGCUUGACCAGAACAAGUUUCCUGUGCAAAAUUACGAAGUACCAUGAACAACCAAGGACCAGAAGAACAGGGGCAGAAAGAACCUCCCAAAGAGGUCAAAAAUGAUCUGUCUGUAUGAGAUCAUUACACACAAAACAAAAAUGAAUGUGAACAAAAUUUACAAGGGAUAAGCCAGAGAACUGAUAAUGUACCCAAAAGUAAAACACUAUCCAAGAAGAGCAGGUAGGUUUUCUGAACAUGAAGACAAUGUAAUAAGUAAAACCUAAAACACCAGUGAAGUGAAUUCCACAGCAGACUAUACACUGAGGGUAGGAGAAACAGCAAUUCUCUUAAAGGAUAAACACAUAUUUGAAAGUUAGAGAAAUUAAAUGUGUGUAUACAGUAAUG